UGCACCUCUAUGUGGAGAUUGCAGAAGGAC
rnacentral:piRNA from 1 species